AUUGAACGCUGGCGGCAGGCCUAACACAUGCAAGUCGAACGAGUGGCGGACGGGUGAGUAAUGUCUGUGAAACUGACUGAUGGAUGGGGAUAACUACUGGAAACGGUAGCUAAUACCGCAUACCAUCAGAUGUGUCCAGAUGGGAUUAGCUAGUUGGUGGGGUAUCGGCUCACCAAGGCGACGAUCCCUAGCUGGUCUGAGAGGAUGACCAGCCACACUGGAACUGAGACACGGUCCAGACGCCUACGGGAGGCAGCAGUGGGGAAUAUUGGACAAUGGGCGAAAGCCUGAUGCAGCCAUGCCGCGUGUGUGAAGAAGGCCUUCGGGUUGUAAAGUACUUUCAGCGGGGAGGCGUUACCCGCAGAAGAAGCACCGGCUAACUCCGUGCCAGCCGCCGCGGUAAUUC
rnacentral:rRNA from 1 species